UACGAAGGGGGCUAGCGUUGCUCGGAAUCACUGGGCGUAAAGCGCACGUAGGCGGAUUGCUAAGUCAGGGGUGAAAUCCUGGAGCUCAACUCCAGAACUGCCUUUGAUACUGGCGACCUUGAGUCCGGGAGAGGUGAGUGGAACUGCGAGUGUAGAGGUGAAAUUCGUAGAUAUUCGCAAGAACACCAGUGGCGAAGGCGGCUCACUGGCCCGGUACUGACGCUGAGGUGCGAAAGCGUGGGGAGCCAACAGGG
rnacentral:rRNA from 1 species